GAUGAACGCUGGCGGCGUGCCUAAUACAUGCAAGUCGAGCGAACAGACGAGGAGCUUGCUCCUUUGACGUUAGCGGCGGACGGGUGAGUAACACGUGGGUAACCUACCUAUAAGACUGGGAUAACUUCGGGAAACCGGAGCUAAUACCGGAUAAUAUUUCGAACCGCAUGGUUCGAUAGUGAAAGAUGGCUUUGCUAUCACUUAUAGAUGGACCUGCGCCGUAUUAGCUAGUUGGUAAGGUAACGGCUUACCAAGGCAACGAUACGUAGCCGACCUGAGAGGGUGAUCGGCCACACUGGAACUGAGACACGGUCCAGACUCCUACGGGAGGCAGCAGUAGGGAAUCUUCCGCAAUGGGCGAAAGCCUGACGGAGCAACGCCGCGUGAGUGACGAAGGUCUUCGGAUCGUAAAACUCUGUUAUUAGGGAAGAACAAACGUGUAAGUAACUGUGCACGUCUUGACGGUACCUAAUCAGAAAGCCACGGCUAACUACGUG
rnacentral:rRNA from 1 species